UAAAUAAAAAACUUAUACAAAAACACAACAAAUAUAAAAUCUGCUCAACAAAAAUACAGCUAAACGGUUCGUCAAAUCAAGCGGAUCACUGCAGUCAAAAUAAUCAGCAAUCUGAUGUAGCAAAAGCCAUUAUAAUAUACGAAAAUGCAACCAUUCCGUUCCGCGCCGUGCUAAUGCAAACGUAUACGAUCCGAAACCGAUAAAUAUAGAUAUACAUAAACCCAAGUGAAAUUGCAAUUUUACAGGCCACUAAAAACCAAAUAUACCAAUUACAUUGUCCAAGAGAACACCAAAGGAACUAUUUUUGGAGACAUCUGCUGGAAAGGCUUUAAGCCACCUAAAAACAGGAACCACGGU